rnacentral:rRNA from 1 species
CAGUCGCCGCGGGAAUACAGAGGGUGCGAGCGUUAAUCGGAUUUACUGGGCGUAAAGCGUGCGUAGGCGGCUUCUUAAGUCGGAUGUGAAAUCCCUAAGCUUAACUUAGGAAUUGCAUUCGAUACUGGGAAGCUAGAGUAUGGGAGAGGAUGGUAGAAUUCCAGGUGUAGCGGUGAAAUGCGUAGAGAUCUGGAGGAAUACCGAUGGCGAAGGCAGCCAUCUGGCCUAAUACUGACGCUGAGGUACGAAAGCAUGGGGAGCAAACAGGAUUAGAUACCCCCGUAGUCCCUGUCUCUUAUAC